CCUACGGGUGGCAGCAGUAGGGAAUAUUGCUCAAUGGGGGAAACCCUGAAGCAGCAACGCCGCGUGGAGGAUGAAGGUCCUCGGAGUGUAAACUCCUUUUUUUAGAGAAGAAAAUGACGGUAUCUAACGAAUAAGCACCGGCUAACUACGUGCCAGCAGCCGCGGUAAUACGGAGGGUGCAAGCGUUACCCGGAAUCACUGGGCGUAAAGAGGGCGUAGGCGGGAUAGCAAGUCAGAUGUGAAAUCCUAUGGCUUAACCAUAGAACUGCAUUUGAAACUGUUAGUCUAGAGUACGGGAGAGGUAGGUGGAAUUCGUGGUGUAGGGGUGAAAUCCGUAGAGAUCAAGAGGAAUACUCAUUGCGAAGGCGGCCUGCUAGAACAUAACUGACGCUGAUGCGCGAAAGCGUGGGGAGCAAACAGGAUUAGAUACCAGAGUAGUC
rnacentral:rRNA from 1 species